rnacentral:rRNA from 1 species
UACGAAGGGGGCUAGCGUUGCUCGGAAUUACUGGGCGUAAAGGGCGCGUAGGCGGCACUGUUAGUCAGGCGUGAAAGUCCUGGGCUCAACCUGGGAACUGCGCUUGAUACGGCAGAGCUAGAGGAUGGAAGAGGCUCGCGGAAUUCCCAGUGUAGAGGUGAAAUUCGUAGAUAUUGGGAGGAACACCAGUGGCGAAGGCGGCUCACUGGACCGGUUCUGACGCUGAGGCGCGAAAGCGUGGGGAGCAAACGGG